rnacentral:lncRNA from 1 species
AAAGCGGUGGCGGUGGCGGCACGAACUUUUCCGGCUCUGCCCCGCGCCCCCUGAGAAGUGACAACUUGAACGCGGGACUUUGAGGGGUCCGGAGCGGAGAGCAGUGUGCACCCUGAGACACGGUCUCUGCCCCCCCCCCCCCGCCCUCCGGGUGGCCGCUUGGCACCGCGCCCGGGCGUUCCGCACCAGAACCGACACAGCCCGAACCCUUCACCGAGGGCACCGUGAACUGCAGUGGCUACUUUCACUGUUGUGCUUCCUCCAGGUCCAUGAAGCCCUCGAGUGUGACCCCUAACCCCAGAGCGAAGUGUAGUGGGGAGGUGGUCUCCGAACCCAAGCUUCCACGUGCCCGAAACGAGGGUGGUAGUGUCAGGAUGCCAUCCUGCCUUGGAGUCAGCAGAUUAUGGACUGCAACCUCUACAAACUGUGAGCUAAAUAAACCUUUCCUCUUUUAACUUUGGAUGUUGGGUAUUUUGUCUCAGCAACAAGAAAAGUAAAUAAGACAGAAUUUGGUACCAGGAUUGGGGUCAUUGCUGUGACUAUACCUAACCUGUGGUUCAGGAGCCUUUGGGUUUGGCUUGUGGGAAGAGUUUGGAAAUGGUCUGAGAUGUGGCUGAAAAAAAAUAGAGCUGG